rnacentral:rRNA from 1 species
UCCGGGGAUAACAGGCUGAUACCGCCCAAGAGUUCAUAUCGACGGCGGUGUUUGGCACCUCGAUGUCGGCUCAUCACAUCCUGGGGCUGAAGUAGGUCCCAAGGGUAUGGCUGUUCGCCAUUUAAAGUGGUACGCGAGCUGGGUUUAGAACGUCGUGAGACAGUUCGGUCCCUAUCUGCCGUGGGCGAUGGAGAACUGAGGGGGGCUGCUCCUAGUACGAGAGGACCGGAGUGGACGCAUCACUGGUGUUCGGGUUGUCAUGCCAAUGGCACUGCCCGGUAGCUAAAUGCGGAAGAGAUAAGUGCUGAAAGCAUCUAAGCACGAAACUUGCCCCGAGAUGAGUUCUCCCUGACCCUUUAAGGGUCCUGAAGGAACGUUGAAGACGACGACGUUGAUAGGCCGGGUGUGUAAGCGCAGCGAUGCGUUGAGCUAACCGGUACUAAUGAACCGUGAGGCUUAACCUUACAACGCCGAAG